rnacentral:lncRNA from 1 species
CGGGAUUUAGACCAGCCCAGCUGGCCUGUGCCUUCACCCUUUUCCUCAGCUGCUAGGAUCUCAGUCCGCACUAUUGCCACCCUUUGUCAUCUUUGCGUGUUUCUCCAUAAGCCUGCGAGCACUCAUCUCUUGUGGCCUCCCUCCACCCUCCUCCCUUGUCUUCCAAGCUGGACCCAGCUCAUCCAUCUCCAAGCUCCAACAAACAAGUUACAGACAAACCAAAUCUCAAGCAGCAGCCAAGAGGAAGCCUGUCCAUAAUGGGCCAUAAUACAGUUACCGGCGGGUCGGCUUUGGGAAGAAUCAGGUUCCACUGAUACACAGAGGGCCAUGGUGAGUGAAUGUUCUCAUACACAAGUAGCUGUUCAUUUCUUUGAUUGUUAUUUUAAAACAAAAUCCUAGAAGCAGAAUUGCCAGGCACAAAGAGAGACACAUUUUUUCAAGUCUUGCUCCGUAGGGCAGGACAUCCUUCUUCGGGAUGUGCUGGUGACGAGCCCAGCAGAGGAGGGCCAGCCUCCCCAGGACCCUUUCAGGAAUGUCCAGCUGGGGUUGGUUGCAGCCUGUGUUUAUCCAUCACAAGAGCAUCAACCCCUGUUGCUUCCCAGGGAUACUACAAAGUCUUAUAGCCUUAAAGCUUGUUGAGCC